GAUGAACGCUGGCGGCGUGCCUAAUACAUGCAAGUCGAGCGAACGGACGAGAAGCUUGCUUCUCUGAUGUUAGCGGCGGACGGGUGAGUAACACGUGGAUAACCUACCUAUAAGACUGGGAUAACUUCGGGAAACCGUAGCUAAUACCGGAUAAUAUUUUGAACCGCAUGGUUCAAAAGUGAAAGACGGUCUUGCUGUCACUUAUAGAUGGAUCCGCGCUGCAUUAGCUAGUUGGUAAGGUAACGGCUUACCAAGGCAACGAUGCAUAGCCGACCUGAGAGGGUGAUCGGCCACACUGGAACUGAGACACGGUCCAGACUCCUACGGGAGGCAGCAGUAGGGAAUCUUCCGCAAUGGGCGAAGGCCUGACGGAGCAACGCCGCGUGAGUGAUGAAGGUCUUCGGAUCGUAAAACUCUGUUAUUAGGGAAGAACAUAUGUGUAAGUAACUGUGCACAUCUUGACGGUACCUAAUCAGAAAGCCACGGCUAAGUACGUG
rnacentral:rRNA from 1 species